rnacentral:ncRNA from 1 species
AUGAUAGCAAUGAAUGAAUUGAAGUAGUGCAUGUUCUCCCUGUUAGAGAGAGCUGACGGAUGGUGCAAGUCAGUGCAAAGAACAGCAUGAAUUACGAUUCUGGAGCAUCUUCUUCGAACCGGAUGGUGAGGGGGAGACGGUGAAGAGCCGUUAUUAAAAUCGAGAUAUUGACAUAUUAACUAUGUUGAUAAUUAGGGUGGUACCGCGUAAAUCACGUCCCUGCU